rnacentral:rRNA from 1 species
UGGGGAAUAUUGCGCAAUGGGGGCAACCCUGACGCAGCAACGCCGCGUGCGGGACGACGGCCUUCGGGUUGUAAACCGCUUUCAGCAGGGAAGAUAGUGACGGUACCUGCACAAGAAGCCCCGGCUAACUACGUGCCAGCAGCCGCGGUAAUACGUAGGGGGCGAGCGUUAUCCGGAUUUAUUGGGUUUAAAGGGAGCGUAGGCCGUUUGGUAAGCGUGUUGUGAAAUGUAGGAGCUCAACUUCUAGAUUGCAGCGCGAACUGUCAGACUAGAGUGCGCACAACGUAGGCGGAAUUCAUGGUGUAGCGGUGAAAUGCUUAGAUAUCAUGAAGAACUCCGAUUGCGAAGGCAGCUUACGGGAGCGCAACUGACGCUGAAGCUCGAAGGUGCGGGUAUCGAACAGG